CAAACUGCAGAAUUUUAGCUCUCGGGGACCGAUCCCUAAUGGGAGAGACCGGUCCCCGAACGCAUGAGAAUUGUAACAGCCAAAAAUUUGGCUAAGUCCCAGAAAACCAGCUCUCGGGAACCGGUCCCUGCCUGAGAGACCGGUCCCCUGGAGACCGGUCCCCUGGAGACCGGUCCCCCAAAGAGAGACCGGUUGCACUGCGCGCGGCAGCUCUGGCUGCGCUGGGACGAGCUUCGGGAACCGGUCCCUGAUGGAGAGACCGGUCCCCACCUGCGCAAACAGCCCAGUCCAGGCUGUGUUAAAGAGUAAAAGUUUAGGGGUUUAUUUGCAUUUUGGCAACCCAUUCGGCUAUGUAUGGGGGUAAAUGGGAAAUUUCUCUCAUUUCUCACCCUCUCACACUCUCUUCUCUCUUCCUCUCUCUAGAAGACAAAGAAGGAGAAGAAGAAAACAAGGAAAGGAAGGAAAAGAAGAAAAAAAAAAGUGGAGAAGAAGCUAUUGGAGUGAAGUAACUUCAUUUUCUUCCUCUCUAGUGCAAGAAAGGAGCAAGCUCAGAGGUAAGCUUUGCCCCUUCUCAUGAUAAAUUCCAAACUAGGGUUUGGAUUAGAGUAAAGAUGGUUUUUAUAGAAUCUCUAGAGUCUUUGAAGCUUUCUUUUUGCUUCUUUUGAGAUCAAAACCAAGGCAUGAGUGUGUUGGGUAAAGCUUGAAGGUGAGCUUGACCCUUCUCAUGGUAGAAUCCAAACUAGGGUUUGGAUUGAAUUAAAGAUGGUUUAGAUGGACUCUUUAGAGUAGAAUGAAGCUACUUUUGCUUCCCAAUGAGAUCAAACCCUAGGUUUGAUGUAUACAAUGGAGCUAGGGCACCCAAAUUGAGACUUUUGCUCAUGGGAAUUUCUAAGUGAAAUUGACCCUCUAGAAACCUAAUUGGGGGUAUUUCUGACGCGUUGGUACGCUCGGAUUAACGUUACGAAAAGCCAAUGUAAAGAUAUGGGCAAAAUGACCUAAUAGGGCUUCGUUUUGCUGCAGGUAAAGAACGAAGGGCCUAAAAAUCCCAAAAAAAUCAUCGGAGCACCUUUGAGAGCCUACGAGGUAGGUGGUACUUUUCAAACUCGUUGAACACCCCUCUAUGCCUAAUGUGUCAUUCAAUUGAGCAUAUGUAUAUAUAUUGUUGCAUGCAUUUUAGGGUAAAGUAAUGAUAAGAAUGUGAUGUUGCAUGAUUGUGAGUACAACUUGCAUAAUGUGAUGGUUAAGAACCUUAUGAAUGUCAAAAACCCUAUAUAUGUAUGCAAGAGAGAAAGUGUGAGAACCAAAGUGAGGCGAAAGAACCCAGUGACACAAUGAGACAAAGAUAGAGUGGUAUUUGAUAAUGUAAAGUAAAGUGACACUAAAGCUAGUGUGAGGCAAAGAAUCAAUGUGAUGUAAAGAAUAAUGAUAAUGACUAAAGUGAAAACAAAAUGGGACGUAAAGAACGUGAAUACUAAUGAUAGCCAAAAGUAAAGGAAAUGUAAAGAACAUGAAUGCUAGAGUUAGCAAGAGCAAAGAAAGGUAAAGAACAAUGAUUGCUAGAGUAGCAACAUAAAGUGAUGUAAAGAACACUAGAGCUAGUGUAAAGUCAAGAUUGAACAUACAAUCCUUUGAGUUAAGGAUUUGAUCAUACUUGCUAUGAGUUCCAUGCUCGAGGGCGGUCGCUCCCCCUCGGGCGAUGCGCUUCGGAGUUUUGCAUCACGGGUUGGAGUAAACCCGAAGGACGGUCCUAGCGGGUGAGUUCCUGCGAUGAUGGACUUAAUGUGAAGCAAGUUAAUGUGGCGAAACCCCCGGGUUAGCCUUGAGAUUAAAGAACAAAGAGCAAAGAAUAAUGAACAAAGACAAAGUGUAAAGUGCAAAGAACAAAAGAAAUUGCAUAAUCUGCAUAUAUUAAUGUUGAGCAUAUUUCCUGCUUAUUGUUCAGGCAUAUUAGCAUCAUAUUAUAGAUUGGUUACUACGUGCAGCUUUUCCUUUCUACUAUGCCUGAGUUAGUCCUAGUGGAAAAGUCGGUGAUGUUGAGGCCGAACCCACUGGAAACUUUGUUGUAGUUCUCACCCUACUAUUUCCACAGAGCCGGGACCGAGCUAGCCGGCGAGCGACCGAGGUAAAGGUAUCGCACCUUAGUCAGAGGCCACCAGAGUUGGGUUUAUAUUUUGUUAGUAGUUACCCCUUAUAUCAUAUUUUGUAUUUGAUGAUUUAAAAUGUUGACGUAUUAAGCAAGGAAAGAAAAGAAUGUAAAGCUCUCUUUUGAGGUAAAUGAGAUGUAAGAAAGAAAUGAUGUAGUGAUGUAAUGAAAUGUAAGGAAGUUGAAAAUGUUCAAGUUAGACUUAAUGUAUAUGAUCUAAAUUGAAUCAUUAUACUAGUUGAAUGUUUAGUUUCCUUUCUUUCACUCGUGGCUAUUGCUUACCCUCGUGUAAGCCGUAUUUGUAUGUUCCCGCUAGUGCACUUCAUUGUUUGAAAAUGUACAUGUGAUGAGCCUUGGGUGGACAAGGAAAACUCUGUCCGUUCGGUGUCUGUUUGACGCGCUCGGGCCGGCCCAAAUUGGUAUCGAUCCCGGGGCGUGACAGAUAUCGUGGUAUCCGAGCCAAGAGUGAAAGAAUAGGAAUGGACCUAGAGACCUUUAGGAUUGGAAGGCCUUAAGGAUCUAGGAAACGUGAGUGACAUGGGAUCAAAGUCAGCGAAGGCAUGCGAUUCGGUUAAGUUGGGAUGUCUCUAAUGUGAUUAGAGGCUAAGUUUAAAUAUCGUUUAUCCUCUACUUCUAGUGUUGUGUCGGGCGGCCGACGACAUGACGCUCGAGGCAAGGAUGAAUGUGCAUGUUGCUUUCGCCGAAUUGGGUUGGUCGAGUAAUGUUGGUCAAGUAGCUAAUGCCAGUUGCUUCUUUUCAGGAAGCAAUGGCACCUCGUGGACGGCCGCAGACAAGGUCGAUGCCGGAGGAGCCGAGUGCCGAGCCCGAGCGAUCCGGAGCAAGUGGCGACGGAGAGCUUAGGGAGCAAAUGGCCGCGCUUAUUGGCGUAGUGCGGCAACAGGCAGAGUCUGUUAAGCGCCAAGGGGAGCAGAUUCAGCGGCUCUAGGAGGCCUUGGAGCGACAACAGGCGACGGCGGCCCAGGUGGGCAUCGAGCAUGUCCCGCCCCCUGUGGUGAUACCGAGUAUGGACGAGGGAGCGGCGGCAGCGGCGGCUGUUCCAGUUACGGUAGUGCCAGCAGGAUCGGGAACCUCAAAUCCCGGUAGUGCGGCGGUAGAGGCGGAGCAAGAGCGCACCUUGGCGGCUCUCAUUCAGUUUAAGAAGUUCGACCCACCUAUCUUUGAGGGUGGUUUGGUGGAGCCAGCGGUCGUGGAGUUGUGGAUCGACUCAAUGGAGACGCUCUUCGAGGACCUAAACACCUCGGAGAAGGACAAGGUGUAUCUCGCGACCCAUUGUCUUGAGAAGGCGGCGAUGGUGUAGUGGAAGCGAGUAAAGCGGGAUCAACCUACCGAUCUUCCGCUUAUGCUUUGGGAGGGGUUCAAAAGAGCGAUAUUCGCGAACUACUUCCCCGACACGGUGAAGCGGAGGCUACAAGAAAAGUUCCGCAAGUUGAGACAGGGUGAUCGAUCGGUGGGAGAGUAUUAGCAGGAAUUCUCUCACAUCAUAUACUGUGUUCCCAAUGUUGUUCGUGAUGAUCGGGAUCGGGCUAACUGGUUCUUGCGAGGACUCCAGCCCCGGAUCUAUGAAAGGGUGCAGAUCUUAAAGUUGACGACCUUUGCGAAGGUUUUUGAUAGAGCAUUGUGGGCGGAACAUGGUAGCGCUCACGUGCGAGAGGAACGAGAAGCGAUGGCCGAGUCUAAGGACAAGGGCAAGAAGCGAGCGGCGGGUGGUGCCGGGGGCCGACCAAUGCCAAGAAACCCUCUCGGUAUUCCCGACAACAGUCGAGGAACUGGAGACCUCCUCGAUGUGUUAUUUGUGGCGGUGAGCACAAGGUGUCGACUUGCCCGCAGCGCGAUAGCAAGUGUUUCAAGUGUGGCCAACCGGGACAUCUUAUCCGGGAGUGCACGACAUGGACGUCGUCUGCGCCGACGGCGGCUUCGGCACCGUCUACCCCGAGACAGCUUGCGGGGUUGCCACCAGCGAUGUCGGCUGGGCGCGCGUCAUCACCGCGUCAGCCUGAGGGGUCGAGAGCGCUUAGCGGCCGAGUCUUUGCCGCUCAGGUGGAGGAGCAACAACCUGCAGCACCCGACGACGUCGUGGCAGGUAUAGUUAUGAUUAAUGGCACUAGAGCUAGAAUGUUGUUCGAUACUGGUGCAUCACGAUCAUUUGUAGGCUCAAAGUUUGCAAAGGCACAUGGCAUAGAAAUGACGCAUAAUGAGGAUUACUGGUGGGUGAAUGGUCCCGAGCACUCGUUUCGUGUUUAUGAUGAGUGCUUGGAGGUUCCGGUGCGGGUUGGCGACUGGAUCAUGCCAAUAGACCUGCUGAUGCUAGACCGGAUGUGGGGCUUCGAUGUUAUUUUGGGGACCAAUUGGCUCUCCAAAUACUAUGCAGUCAUAGAUUGUGAAAGUAAGGUUAUCACUUUUCGUGAGCCUAACCAAGAAGAAUUCGUGUACCGGGCGUGCAAAGGUGCGCGAUUCAUGGCGACUAUAUCGUGAGUGAGGGCCAAGAGAAUAAUCAAGGGAGGAUGUAAGGCCUAUUUGGCAACCAUGGUUGAUGGCCGUGGGGAGCACCCUGAUCUUGGAAGUAUCCGGAUUGCAUGCGAGUUUCCGGAUGUGUUUCCGGCGGAGUUACCGGGACUGCCAUCGGACCGGAAAGUCGAGUUUGUCAUUGACUUGAUUCCCGGGGUGGAACCAGUUUCGAAGGCUCCGUAUAGAAUGGCACCGGUGGAGUUAAAGGAGUUGAAAGGCCAACUACAAGACUUGCUCGAUAAAGACUUUGUGAGGCCGAGCGUGUCACCGUGGGGAGCUCCGGUGCUAUUUGUGAAGAAAAAGGAUGGCACACUUUGACUCUGCGCAGAUUAUCGUGAGUUGAAUAAAGUAACGAUAAAGAACAAGUACCCGUUGCCGAGGAUUGACGAUUUAUUCGAUCAGUUGCAAGGGUCCAAGGUGUAUUCGAAAAUUGAUCUCCAAUCGGGGUAUCAUCAGUUAAAGAUAAGGCCGAAGGAUGUGCACAAAACGGCGUACCGUACGCGGUAUGGCCAUUAUGAAUUCACGGUCAUGCCGUUUGGGCUUACUAAUGCCCCGGCAGCAUUUAUGGACUUGAUGAAUCGAGUCUUUAGGCCAUUGUUUGAUCGAUGCGUCGUGGUGUUUAUAGACGACGUGUUGGUUUACUCGAAAAGUGAAGAGGAGCACGAAGAGCACCUGAGGGCUGUGUUGCAAAUACUCUGGCAGGAUAAGCUCUAUGCGAAGUUGAAGAAAUGUGAUUUUUGGCUAAAGGAGGUCACAUUCUUGGGCCAUGUGGUGUCGGGUGACGGAGUGUCUGUAAACCCGAAGAAAGUGGAGGCGAUCAAGGAUUGGCCUCGCCCGACAAAUGUAGCGGAGGUCCGCAGUUUUCUUGAACUCGCGGGCUACUACCGGCGGUUUGUGGAGGGGUUCGCCAAAAUAACCACUCCGCUAACGCGCCUUACGCAUAAAGGAGUAAAGUAUGUUUGGAGCGACGAUUACGAUCGGAGCUUCGAGGAGUUAAAGAACAGGUUAACGUCAACCCCGGUGCUUGCCUUGCCGACUCCGAGGGAGACUUUUAUAGUGUAUAGUGAUGCCUCGUAUGUUGGUCUCGGGUGUGUAUUAAUGCAAAACGGGCGAGUCAUUGCAUAUGCAUCACGCCAGCUAAAGAGUUAUGAGAAGAACUACCCGAUUCACGACCUCGAGUUAGCCGUGGUGAUUUUCGCACUGAAACUUUGGAGGCAUUACUUAUAUGGUGCGCAUUGCGAGGUCUAUACGGAUCAUAAAAGUCUAAAGUAUUUGUUCACCCAGAAAGAGUUGAAUAUGCGACAGCGGCGGUGGUUAGAGUUGUUGAAGGACUAUGAUGUCACUAUAUUAUACCACCCCGGGAAAGCCAAUGUCGUAGCCGAUGCGUUGAGUAGAAAAUCGGCGGAUAAUUUAGCGACGGCGAUUACGCCUCAACCGCUAUUGCACAAGAAAAUGCAACGUCUUGGGUUGGAAGUGGUAGCGCCGGGAGUGCCGGCCAUGCUUACUGCGUUGAUUGUGCAACCGACCCUAUUUGAGAGAAUCAAAGAGUUACAAGCUUCGGAUCCUUAUCUUCAAAAGGUUCGAGGUGAAGUUGAGAAUGGUAGUGCCGAAGAUUUUGGCAUUGGAGCUGACGGCACACUUCGAUUUCGAAAUCGUUGGUGCGUGCCCAAAGAUGAUGAUAUUCGAAGGGCGAUCAUGCAAGAAACACACCAAUCUCCCUAUAGCAUACAUCCGGGUGGCACUAAGAUGUAUCAAGACUUGAAAGUGCACUAUUGGUGGCCCGGUAUGAAGAAAGAUAUUGGGGAGUUCAUGGCGCAAUGUCUAACGUGCCAACAAGUGAAAGCCGAGUGCCGAUUUCCGGCGGGAAAGCUACAAAGUCUAUCAAUACCUGUUUGGAAAUGGGAGGAUAUAGCAAUGGACUUUGUUACCGGUCUGCCUCGAUCACAAGGCGGGCAUGAUGCGAUAUGGGUGAUAGUGGACCGAUUGACAAAGUCGGCACACUUCUUGCCGAUACAUACUACGUGGUCGGGAGACAAGUUAGCUCAAGUUUACCUCGACGAGGUUGUGAGACUUCAUGGGGUUCCAGUGUCGAUCGUAUCCGAUCGCGACCCGAGGUUCACGUCUCACUUCUGGAAGAGCUUACAAGACGCGCUAGGCACACGGCUCAACUUCAGCACAGCAUUCCAUCCUCAGAGCGAUGGACAGUCGGAGUGAACGAUACAAAUCCUUGAGGACUUGCUUCGAGCGUGUGUACUAGAUUACAAAGGAGGUUGGCAUGAUUUCUUGCCAAUGGCGGAGUUCGCCUAUAAUAAUAGCUACCAAAAAAGCAUAGCUAUGGCACCUUUUGAGGCACUAUAUGGUCGAAAGUAUCGUUCUCCUAUCCAUUGGAGCGACGCGGGCGAAAGAGCGGCUCUUGGCCCAGAUGUAGUGCGGGAGGCGGAGGAGAAGGUUCGCCUUGCGCGUCAACGGUUAGCGGCGGCGCAAUCUCGGCAAAAGAGUUAUGCCGACAAGCGAAGAAAGGAUUUAGAGUUUGUGGUUGGAGACCGCGUAUUCCUAAGAGUGUCGCCAAUGCGAGGAGUAAAGCGGUUCGGGGUCCGUGGGAAGUUAAGUCCCCGUUAUGUCGAACCGUUUGAGAUAUUGGAACGUGUGGGUGCGGUGGCGUAUAAGCUCGCACUACCACCGAGACUCGCAGGAGUUCACAAUGUGUUUCAUAUGUUGAAUCUUAGAAGGUACAUUCGCAACUCGACACAUGUAUUGGAAUACGAGCCCGUAGAGUUACGCGAGGAUAUGUCGUAUGAGGAGUACCCGGUGUGCAUCCUCGAUCGAGAAGAAAGAGAGCUGCGGAAUCACAGAAUCCCUUAUGUGAAGGUCCAAUGGAGCAACCAUGCUGUGCGAGAAGCCACUUGGGAGCUCGAGGAGACCAUGCGGAGAGAGUAUCCGCACUUAUUUGAGUCAACGAGUUAAGGUAUGCGUAAUUUCGCGGACGAAAUUAUUUUAAGGGGUCGAGAAUGUAAUAUACCGAAAAUUCGGAAAGUAAAUAUCGAACUUUAGUCAAAUUGACCAAAGUCCGAGGAUGGUACACUUCGGAAAGUUCGAAGGUGUUAAAAUGAGUAAAAGUAAGUUGUGGAAGGUUUUCGAGAGCUAAAUAAUCAAAAUCUGCAAACUGCAGAAUUUUAGCUCUCGGGGACCGGUCCCUAGUGGGAGAGACCGGUCCCCGAACGCGUGAGAAUUGUGACAGCCAAAAAUUUGGCUAAGUCCCAGAAGACCAGCUCUUGGGAACCGGUCCCUGCCUGAGAGACCAGUUCCUCGGAGACCGGUCCCCCAAAGAGAGACCGGUUCACUACGCGCGGCAGCUCUGGCUGCGCUGGGACGAGCUUCGGGAACCGGUACUUGAUGGAGAGACCGAUCCCCGCCUGCGCGAACAGCCCAGUCCAGGCUGUGUGAAAGAGUAAAAGUUGAGGGGUUUAUUUGCAUUUUGGCAACCCAUUGGGCUAUGUAUGGGGGUAAAUGGGAA
rnacentral:lncRNA from 1 species